GACGAACGCUGGCGGCGUGCCUAAUACAUGCAAGUCGAACGCAGGGGGGACGGGUGAGUAACAAGUGGGUAACCUCCCAUCAGAGGGGAUAACCCUUGGAAACAGGUGCUAAACCGAUACUGAUGGAUGGACCCGCGGUGCAUUGGCUAGUUGGUGAGGUAACGGCUCACCAAGGCGACGAUGCCUAGCCGACCUGAGAGGGUGAUCGGCCACACUGGGACUGAGCAACGGCCCAGACUCCGACGGGAGGCAGCAGUAGGGAAUCUUCGACAAUGGACGAAAGUCUGACGGAGCAACGCCGCGUGAGUGAAGAAGGUUUUCGGAUCGUAAAACUCUGUUGUUGGAGAAGCGGUAUCCAACCAGAAAGCCACGGCUAACUACGUGCCAGCAGCCGCGGUAAUUC
rnacentral:rRNA from 1 species